UACGUAGGGGGCAAGCGUUGUCCGGAAUCAUUGGGCGUAAAGCGCGCGUAGGCGGCCCUGUAAGUCCGUUGUGAAAGUCAAAGGCUCAACCUUUGAAAGCCGAUGGAUACUGCAGGGCUAGAGUCCGGAAGAGGCGAGUGGAAUUCCUGGUGUAGCGGUGGAAUGCGUAGAUAUCAGGAGGAAUACCGGUGGCGAAAGCGACUCUCUGGACGGCAACUGACGCUGAGGCACGAAAGCGUGGGGAGCAAACAGG
rnacentral:rRNA from 1 species